rnacentral:pre_miRNA from 1 species
CUCUCUCUCUCUCUCUCUCUCUCUCUCUCUCUCUCUCCCUCUCUCAAUGCCUCUAUGUAAGUAUUUAUGAAACUAACAGUUUUCAUGUUCAAAAUCUGAGAGAGAGAGAGAGAGAGAGAGAGAGAGAGAGAGAGGGAGAGA